rnacentral:rRNA from 1 species
GUGGGGAAUAUUGGACAAUGGGGGGAACCCUGAUCCAGCCAUGCCGCGUGUGUGAAGAAGGCCUUUUGGUUGUAAAGCACUUUAAGCGAGGAGGAGGCUACCGAGAUUAAUACUCUUGGAUAGUGGACGUUACUCGCAGAAUAAGCACCGGAUAACUCUGUGCCAGCAGCCGCGGUAAUACAGAGGGGGCAAGCGUUAAGCGGAUUUAAUGGGCGUAAAGCGCGCGUAGGUGGCCAAUUAAGUCAAAUGUGAAAUCCCCGAGCUUAACUUGGGAAUUGCAUUCGAUACUGGAUGGCUAGAGUAUGGGAGAGGAUGGUAGAAUUCAAGGUGUAGAGGUGAAAUGCGUAGAGAUCUGGAGGAAUACAGAUGGCGAAGGCAGCCAUCUGGCCUAAUACUGACACUGAGGUGCGAAAGCAUGGGGAGCAAACAGGAUUAGAUACCCGAGUAGUCC